rfam:Bibersteinia trehalosi TSDA-ARS-TSMARC-192, complete genome.
CCUGAUGUCCAUAGUGCUGUGGCACCACCUGAAACCAUACCGAACUCAGAAGUGAAACGCAGUAACGCCGAUGGUAGUGUGGGGUUUCCCCAUGUGAGAGUAGGGCAACAUCAGGG